AGUUAAAUUCAAAUGGGCCUUGACCGUGUGGAGGAAGACCCGGGUCGUGGAUUCUGGAUCGGUUCGGAUGAUCCGCAUAAAUUAAGCCCGACGCGAACCCGACUUCUCAGACGGGUCAAAACGAAAUAUCCAAAAUAACCCAAUUAAGCAUGUCUUGUUACAGAAAACCCUAACUCCUCUCUAAGCUCACUACCAUGGAGCAUAAACUCGAUACAGCAGAGAAAAAGUCGAGUUGUAAGCUCAGUUGCUGAAGCUUCGUCAAGCUGCUAUCUUGCAUCAAUUUCGCCUCCAGGCGCUGUUUUGCGACGUCUUCAUUUCAGUUAAAGGCUUUAGAAGGGGUGAAUGAUUUAUGCAAUAGAGGAGGAGGCAGACGAGAAAGUACAGACGAUGUCGAAAUCUAAGAAAGUAGCAAAAGAGCACAAGGAGCAGUUGCAGAGGCUACAAGAAAAGG